UACGGGGGGGGGCAAGCGUUGUUCGGAAUUACUGGGCGUAAAGGGCUCGUAGGCGGCCAACUAAGUCGGACGUGAAAUCCCUCGGCUUAACCGAGGAACUGCCUGUCAGACUGGAAGGCUUGAGACCGGGAGAGGUGAGUGGAAUUCCCAGUGUAGCGGUGAAAUGCGUAGAUAUUGGGAGGAACACCAGUGGCGAAGGCGGCUCACUGGACCGGAACUGACGCUGAGGCGCGAAAGCUAGGGGAGCGAACAGG
rnacentral:rRNA from 1 species